rnacentral:lncRNA from 1 species
GGAAUAAUGGAAAUAGAUGCAAAGUUAACUACAAACAGCGGGAGUCCAGGGAGUUGGAAAGGGAUGGAGAAUUCAGGCUGUUAGAGUAAUGCAAUGCAGAGUGCCUGCUCCGUUUCUGCAGGUGCUGCUCAGGGACAAACACUGCCUCUGGGAAACCUGCCCGAGUUCUGGAAGGAGCCAUAGAUACACCAGGGAGCACCAGUCCUGCAGCCCUGCAAAAUCCAGCGGUUUGCUGUGCCUUCCAGAAUUGCUCUCAAUUGUGCCAACAGCUUUUUUAAGUUUUGUUUCAUACAUAGUAACAGGACAAGAGACAACUGCUAGAGUGCAGAAAACUGUUUGCAAAUCAGUAAAAACAAGAUAGACUUGCCACAGAGGGCACCCCAUGCUCAGGCUCCUGAGGCAAAUGGCAGGAGAAAAAUCAAGCAGGCUGUGUUUAGAAGAGAAAAAGAAGCCUCCUGGAAUGCAGUCCUCAAUGCCAAGUACACUUUGUAUAGAGUACCAUGGAAAAACAGCAUUUAAAAAUGGAAAGGUCAGGAUCUUGACCUGCUUGACUUCCACAAAUGGUAAAAUAUGCUGACUGGGGAAGAAGAAUGUAUGCAUGGAGGUAUGGGACACGCAAGUGAGAGUUAAUAUCCAUGAAGACAAUUAAUCUUGCUUUUAUUGUUCUGUGUCAGUACAGUUAAAAAUAUGCAGGUGGAGCUCUUCCUAUCAUUCUCCAUGUGUUCUGAAUAUUCCUAAAUGAAGACUGAUUGCAUGGAAUUACCUUAGGCCUCUGUUAGUUUAACUUUCCUGCCUGUUUUUAUAACUACAGAGAUAGUUGUAAUGAUGUGCACAUCUCAAAUGCUGUGUGAUGCAGGUGUAACUCCUGCUUUAAAGGGUAAAGCCUGUUUCAUCUAUGACCUCAUGUUUGUAAAUACAUGCAAUUUCAGUCGUGCUAAAUAUGACAUGGCUAUGUACUUAUAACAAGUGACAACUGAUGCAAUUAAAACAUUAAUUUUUAUCAUACCAAAUGCAGUGUUUCAGCUGAAUGUAUUUAGUAGAAAUGAUGAUAGUGGAGAAAUAUUUUAAAACUGAGAACACAUCAGUCAUCCACCAAAUGAGACAGACUUGAAAUUGAUUUCCCAUGAUUUUCCUUGCAGUUUCCAUGUUAGAAUUUUGAGACUUUCUAAAAUGAAUUUCAGCAGACAGUGGAGGAAAGAUGCGAAGAGUGAAACUCUGAGGGCCAUUCUGCUCAGUGCUGCCAUGCCAGACAACUGGUGGGAGCCUCGCAGAGCGAAAUGUGUAACCACCAGUCCUGUGUUUUCUGCACACUUAUGAGCAACAUUCUAUAUUUGAAGAUGCCUGUAGCCCUGUGGGUGCCAGAGAGCUUGCAGGACAUGGGUAAUGCUUCUCACAUUUUAC